rnacentral:rRNA from 1 species
AUUGAACGCUGGCGGCAUGCUUUACACAUGCAAGUCGAACGGCAGCGCGGGCUUCGGCCUGGCGGCGAGUGGCGAACGGGUGAGUAAUGCAUCGGAACGUGCCCAGUAGUGGGGGAUAGCCCGGCGAAAGCCGGAUUAAUACCGCAUACGACCUGAGGGUGAAAGCGGGGGACCGAAAGGCCUCGCGCUAUUGGAGCGGCCGAUGUCGGAUUAGCUAGUUGGUGGGGUAAAGGCUUACCAAGGCGACGAUCCGUAGCUGGUCUGAGAGGACGACCAGCCACACUGGGAGUGAGACAGGGCCCAGACUCCUACGGGGGGAGGCGGGGGGGAAUUUGGGACAAUGGGGGCAACCCUAAUCCAGCCGUGCGGCGGGGGGAAAGAGGGCCUUGGGGUUGUAAACCGUUUUUGUUGGGGAAGAAAUCUUCGGGGCUAAUACCCGGGGGGGAUGACGGUACCGAAAAAAAAAGCACCGGCUAACUACGUG